GCCCAACCAGUAGGGAGGAUAUGACCCUCGGUUCGUAACCGAGUGGGCUCGGGUUCGAAUCCCGAGUAAGGCA